rnacentral:rRNA from 1 species
GGUUAAGCGACUAAGCGUACACGGUGGAUGCCCUGGCAGUCAGAGGCGAUGAAGGACGUGCUAAUCUGCGAAAAGCGUCGGUAAGGUGAUAUGAACCGUUACAGCCGGCGAUGUCCGAAUGGGGAAACCCAGUGUGAUUCGUCACACUAUCGUUAACUGAAUACAUAGGUUAACGAGGCGAACCGGGGGAACUGAAACAUCUAAGUACCCCGAGGAAAAGAAAUCAACCGAGAUUCCCCCAGUAGCGGCGAGCGAACGGGGAGCAGCCCAGAGUCUGAAUCAGCUUGUGUGUUAGUGGAACGGUCUGGAAAGUCCGACGGUACAGGGUGAUAGUCCCGUACACCAAAAUGCACAGGCUGUGAACUCGAAGAGUAGGGCGGGACACGUGGUAUCCUGUCUGAAUAUGGGGGGACCAUCCUCCAAGGCUAAAUACUCCUGACUGACCGAUAGUGAACCAGUACCGUGAGGGAAAGGCGAAAAGAACCCCGGCGAGGGGAGUGAAAAAGAACCUGAAACCGUGUACGUACAAGCAGUGGGAGCACCUUCGGGUGUGACUGCGUACCUUUUGUAUAAUGGGUCAGCGACUUAUAUUCUGUAGCAAGGUUAACCGUAUAGGGGAGCCGCAGGGAAACCGAGUCUUAACUGGGCGUUAAGUUGCAGGGUAUAGACCCGAAACCCGGUGAUCUAGCCAUGGGCAGGUUGAAGGUUGGGUAACACUAACUGGAGGACCGAACCGACUAAUGUUGAAAAAUUAGCGGAUGACUUGUGGCUGGGGGUGAAAGGCCAAUCAAACCGGGAGAUAGCUGGUUCUCCCCGAAAGCUAUUUAGGUAGCGCCUCGUGAACUCAUCUUCGGGGGUAGAGCACUGUUUCGGCUAGGGGGUCAUCCCGACUUACCAACCCGAUGCAAACUACGAAUACCGAAGAAUGUUAUCACGGGAGACACACGGCGGGUGCUAACGUCCGUCGUGAAGAGGGAAACAACCCAGACCGCCAGCUAAGGUCCCAAAGUCAUGGUUAAGUGGGAAACGAUGUGGGAAGGCACAGACAGCCAGGAUGUUGGCUUAGAAGCAGCCAUCAUUUAAAGAAAGCGUAAUAGCUCACUGGUCGAGUCGGCCUGCGCGGAAGAUGUAACGGGGCUAAACCAUGCACCGAAGCUGCGGCAGCGACACUAUGUGUUGUUGGGUAGGGGAGCGUUCUGUAAGCCUGCGAAGGUGUGCUGUGAGGCAUGCUGGAGGUAUCAGAAGUGCGAAUGCUGACAUAAGUAACGAUAAAGCGGGUGAAAAGCCCGCUCGCCGGAAGACCAAGGGUUCCUGUCCAACGUUAAUCGGGGCAGGGUGAGUCGACCCCUAAGGCGAGGCCGAAAGGCGUAGUCGAUGGGAAACAGGUUAAUAUUCCUGUACUUGGUGUUACUGCGAAGGGGGGACGGAGAAGGCUAUGUUAGCCGGGCGACGGUUGUCCCGGUUUAAGCAUGUAGGCUGAUUAUCCAGGCAAAUCCGGAUAAUCAAGGCUGAGGUGUGAUGACGAGGCACUACGGUGCUGAAGUAACAAAUGCCCUGCUUCCAGGAAAAGCCUCUAAGCAUCAGGUAACAUUAAAUCGUACCCCAAACCGACACAGGUGGUCAGGUAGAGAAUACCAAGGCGCUUGAGAGAACUCGGGUGAAGGAACUAGGCAAAAUGGUGCCGUAACUUCGGGAGAAGGCACGCUGGUGUGUAGGUGAAGUCCCUGCGGAUGGAGCUGAGACCAGUCGAAGAUACCAGCUGGCUGCAACUGUUUAUUAAAAACACAGCACUGUGCAAACACGAAAGUGGACGUAUACGGUGUGACGCCUGCCCGGUGCCGGAAGGUUAAUUGAUGGGGUUAUCCGUAAGGAGAAGCUCUUGAUCGAAGCCCCGGUAAACGGCGGCCGUAACUAUAACGGUCCUAAGGUAGCGAAAUUCCUUGUCGGGUAAGUUCCGACCUGCACGAAUGGCGUAAUGAUGGCCAGGCUGUCUCCACCCGAGACUCAGUGAAAUUGAACUCGCUGUGAAGAUGCAGUGUACCCGCGGCAAGACGGAAAGACCCCGUGAACCUUUACUAUAGCUUGACACUGAACAUUGAGCCUUGAUGUGUAGGAUAGGUGGGAGGCUUUGAAGCGUGGACGCCAGUCUGCGUGGAGCCAACCUUGAAAUACCACCCUUUAAUGUUUGAUGUUCUAACGUUGGCCCCUGACCGGGGUUGCGGACAGUGUCUGGUGGGUAGUUUGACUGGGGCGGUCUCCUCCCAAAGCGUAACGGAGGAGCACGAAGGUUAGCUAAUCCUGGUCGGACAUCAGGAGGUUAGUGCAAUGGCAUAAGCUAGCUUGACUGCGAGCGUGACGGCGCGAGCAGGUGCGAAAGCAGGUCAUAGUGAUCCGGUGGUUCUGAAUGGAAGGGCCAUCGCUCAACGGAUAAAAGGUACUCCGGGGAUAACAGGCUGAUACCGCCCAAGAGUUCAUAUCGACGGCGGUGUUUGGCACCUCGAUGUCGGCUCAUCACAUCCUGGGGCUGAAGUAGGUCCCAAGGGUAUGGCUGUUCGCCAUUUAAAGUGGUACGCGAGCUGGGUUUAGAACGUCGUGAGACAGUUCGGUCCCUAUCUGCCGUGGGCGCUGGAGAAUUGAGGGGGGCUGCUCCUAGUACGAGAGGACCGGAGUGGACGCAUCACUGGUGUUCGGGUUGUCAUGCCAAUGGCACUGCCCGGUAGCUAAAUGCGGAAGAGAUAAGUGCUGAAAGCAUCUAAGCACGAAACUUGCCCCGAGAUGAGUUCUCCCUGAGACUUUAAGUCUCCUGAAGGAACGUUGAAGACGACGACGUUGAUAGGCCGGGUGUGUAAGCGCAGCGAUGCGUUGAGCUAACCGGUACUAAUGAACCGUGAGGCUUAACCUU